CUAGAAUCUUCAAGUAGGUGAUGUAAAGGCCGAUGGCGCUGAUCCAACGUUUCUUUCAAAUCUGUGUCGUUCAUUGAUUUUUCUUUCGACAGUAUUCCAAUUUCGAUCUCAGCUGCAUCUUCUAGCAACCCUUGGGCAGGUCCCCCAACACACACGAACCAUCCCAAUGGCAGUGGCGAUGGCAAUGGCACACCCCUACAACGCACUCAGCCCACUGCAAUGAGCUCAACCCAAGUGACACACCCAUCUGCCAUUGACGCUGACACUUAUUGCCAGGGCUCUAUUUUUUUUCUUAUGUUUUUAAUUAUUUAAAAUUCUAAACUUAGAUUCAAUUAAUGUAGUAUCAAAUGUUUGUUUAAUGUAUUUUAGACUUAAAUGCAUCAGUUAGAAUUGAUUAAAUCUUUGGCUUGUAGAUGUUCAAAAUCUGGGUUAGGGAAUCAUUUCCAUGCGAUUUGAUGUGCUAUGAUGCAUAGCUAAAAAAUGAAGAAAUGUUGCACG